CCUACGUGCGGCUGCAGUGGGGAAUAUUGCGCAAUGUGCGAAAGCCUGACGCAGCGACGCCGCGUGAGGGAUGAAGGUCUUCGGAUCGUAAACCUCUGUCAGCAGGGAAGCACGGUCACUGUGCUAAUCAGCAGUGAAUUGACGGUACCUGCAAAGGAAGCACCGGCUAACUCCGUGCCAGCAGCCGCGGUAAUACGGAGGGUGCGAGCGUUAAUCGGAAUUACUGGGCGUAAAGCGCUCGUAGGCGGUAUGGCAAGUCAAGGGUGAAAUCCCCGCGCUCAACGUGGGAACUGCCUUUGAAACUGGCAAACUGGAGUGUGUGAGAGGAUAGUGGAAUUCCAGGUGUAGGAGUGAAAUCCGUAGAUAUCUGGAGGAACAUCAGUGGCGAAGGCGACUAUCUGGCACAUAACUGACGCUGAGGAGCGAAAGCGUGGGUAGCAAACAGGAUUAGAUACCCUAGUAGUC
rnacentral:rRNA from 1 species